GACGAACGCUGGCGGCGUGCCUAAUACAUGCAAGUUGAGCGCUGAAGGUUGGUACUUGUACCAACUGGAUGAGCAGCGAACGGGUGAGUAACGCGUGGGGAAUCUGCCUUUGAGCGGGGGACAACAUUUGGAAACGAAUGCUAAUACCGCAUAAAAACUUUAAACACAAGUUUAAAGUUUGAAAGAUGCAAUUGCAUCACUCAAAGAUGAUCCCGCGUUGUAUUAGCUAGUUGGUGAGGUAAAGGCUCACCAAGGCGAUGAUACAUAGCCGACCUGAGAGGGUGAUCGGCCACAUUGGGACUGAGACACGGCCCAAACUCCUACGGGAGGCAGCAGUAGGGAAUCCUCGGCAAUGGACGAAAGUCUGACCGAGCAACGCCGCGUGAGUGAAGAAGGGUUUCGGAUCGUAAAACUCUGUUGGUAGAGAAGAACGUUGGUGAGAGUGGAAAGCUCAUCAAGUGACGGUAACUACCCAGAAAGCGACGGCUAACUACGUG
rnacentral:rRNA from 1 species